AGCGUAGGCGGACUUUUAAGUGGGAUGUGAAAUACCCGGGCUUAACCUGGGUGCUGCAUUCCAAACUGGGAGUCUAGAGUGCAGGAGGGGAAAGUGGAAUUCCUAGUGUAGCGGUGAAAUGCGUAGAGAUUAGGAAGAACACCGGUGGCGAAGGCGACUUUCUGGACUGUAACUGACGCUGAGGCUCGAAAGCGUGGGGAGCGAACA
rnacentral:rRNA from 1 species